rnacentral:rRNA from 1 species
GACAGAGGUUGCAAACGUUGUUCGGAAUUACUGGGCAUAAAGCGCACGUAGGCGGUCCGUUAAGUCAUGUGUGAAAUCCCCGGCUCAACCGGGGAAUGCGCUGAUACUGGCGGCUAGAGGUCGAUAGGGGUGAGCGGAACUCCAGGUGGAGCGGUGAAAUGCGUAGAUAUCUGGAGGAACACCGGUGGCGAAAGCGGCUCACUGGAUCGAACUGACGCUGAGGUGCG